GACGAACGCUGGCGGCGUGCUUAACACAUGCAAGUCGAACGGCAAGGCCCUGCUUUUGUGGGGUGCUCGAGUGGCGAACGGGUGAGUAACACGUGAGUAACCUGCCCUUGACUUUGGGAUAACUUCAGGAAACUGGGGCUAAUCCCGGAUAGGAGCUCCUGCUGCAUGGUGGGGGUUGGAAAGUUUCGGCGGUUGGGGAUGGACUGGCGGCUUAUCAGCUUGUUGGUGGGGGAGUGGCUUACCAAGGCUUUGACUGGUAGCCGGCCUGAGAGGGUGACCGGCCACAAUGGGACUGAGGGACGGACCAGAGUCCUACGUGGGGCAGUAGUGGGGAAUAUGGCACAAUGGGCGCACGCCUGAUGCAGCAGCGCCGCGGUCGGGAUGACGGCCUGCGGGUUGUAAAACGCUUUCGCCUGUGACGAAGCGUUAGUGACGGUAAUGGGUAAAGAAGCACCGGCUAACUACGUG
rnacentral:rRNA from 1 species